rnacentral:rRNA from 1 species
UACGGAGGGUGCAAACGUUGCUCGGAAUUAUUGGGCGUAAAGCGCACGUAGGCGGCCGACUAAGUCGGGUGUGAAAGCCCUGGGCUCAACCCAGGAAGUGCACUCGAAACUGGUCGGCUUGAGUAUGGAAGAGGGUUGCGGAAUUCCCGGUGUAGAGGUGAAAUUCGUAGAUAUCGGGAGGAACACCAGUGGCGAAGGCGGCAACCUGGGCCAAUACUGACGCUGAGGUGCGAAAGCGUGGGGAGCAAACAGG